rnacentral:rRNA from 1 species
AGUAACACGUAAACAACCUAGCCUUCAGGAUGGGGACGAACAGACGGAAACGACUGCUAAUACCGAAUAAGUUCCAAGAGCCGCAUGGCCCAUGGAGGAAAAGGUGGCCUCUACCUGUAAGCUAUCGCCUGAAGAGGGGUUUGCGUCUGAUUAGCUGGUUGGAGGGGUAACGGGCCCACCAAGGCGACGAUCAGUAGCCGGUCUGAGAGGAUGAACGGCCACACUGGAACUGAGACACGGUCCAGACUCCUACGGGAGGCAGCAUG